AGCGAACGCUGGCGGCAGGCUUAACACAUGCAAGUCGAGCGGGCAUCUUCGGAUGUCAGCGGCAGACGGGUGAGUAACACGUGGGAACGUACCCUUCGGUUCGGAACAACUCUGGGAAACUGGAGCUAAUACCGGAUACGCCCUUAUGGGGAAAGGUUUACUGCCGAAGGAUCGGCCCGCGUCUGAUUAGCUAGUUGGUGGGGUAACGGCCUACCAAGGCGACGAUCAGUAGCUGGUCUGAGAGGAUGAUCAGCCACACUGGGACUGAGACACGGCCCAGACUCCUACGGGAGGCAGCAGUGGGGAAUAUUGGACAAGGGGCGCAAGCCUGAUCCAGCCAUGCCGCGUGAGUGAUGAAGGCCUUAGGGUUGUAAAGCUCUUUUGUCCGGGACGAUAAUGACGGUACCGGAAGAAUAAGCCCCGGCUAACUUCGUG
rnacentral:rRNA from 1 species